CAAAAUUAAACAAAACUUCAUUCUCCAUAACAAUUUAACACACAAGAAUAUCGAAGAUGGAUUCUCAAAACUCCCAAAACGCAAGCUUUAACGCUGGCCAAGCCAAGGGCCAAGCUCAAGAAAAGGCUAGCAACAUGAUGGACAAGGCUAGCGAAGCUGCUCAUUCUACUCAAGACUCCAUGCAAGAGGCUAGACAACAAAUGCAGGAAAAGACACUAGGAGCUGCGGAUGCUAUCAAGAGUGCUUUGACAAAGAACUAAUGGAACUAAAUGAAUCGUUAAUUAUGCCGAACUUUCCUUCUUUUCGAAUAAACCAUGUUCCUGCUCAUCCAUAUGUUUUUGCAGAAACAUCCAUACCUUUAUUUUAGAUGUAUUGAUCUUACUUCUAUUUGUAUAAGCAUUCAAUUUUAUUUCAAAUGUAACCAUUUUCAUGUGAUU